rnacentral:rRNA from 1 species
AGAGUUUGAUCUGGCUCAGGACGAACGCUGGCGGCGUGCCUAAUACAUGCAAGUCGAGCGAGCGGAACCAACAGAUUUACUUCGGUAAUGACGUUGGGAAAGCGAGCGGCGGAUGGGUGAGUAACACGUGGGGAACCUGCCCCUAAGUCUGGGAUACCAUUUGGAAACAGGUGCUAAUACCGGAUAAUAAAGCAGAUCGCAUGAUCAGCUUUUGAAAGGCGGCGUAAGCUGUCGCUAAGGGAUGGCCCCGCGGUGCAUUAGCUAGUUGGUAAGGUAACGGCUUACCAAGGCGACGAUGCAUAGCCGAGUUGAGAGACUGAUCGGCCACAUUGGGACUGAGACACGGCCCAAACUCCUACGGGAGGCAGCAGUAGGGAAUCUUCCACAAUGGACGCAAGUCUGAUGGAGCAACGCCGCGUGAGUGAAGAAGGUUUUCGGAUCGUAAAGCUCUGUUGUUGGUGAAGAAGGAUAGAGGUAGUAACUGGCCUUUAUUUGACGGUAAUCAACCAGAAAGUCACGGCUAACUACGUGCCAGCAGCCGCGGUAAUACGUAGGUGGCAAGCGUUGUCCGGAUUUAUUGGGCGUAAAGCGAGCGCAGGCGGAAAAAUAAGUCUAAUGUGAAAGCCCUCGGCUUAACCGAGGAACUGCAUCGGAAACUGUUUUUCUUGAGUGCAGAAGAGGAGAGUGGAACUCCAUGUGUAGCGGUGGAAUGCGUAGAUAUAUGGAAGAACACCAGUGGCGAAGGCGGCUCUCUGGUCUGCAACUGACGCUGAGGCUCGAAAGCAUGGGUAGCGAACAGGAUUAGAUACCCUGGUAGUCCAUGCCGUAAACGA